rnacentral:rRNA from 1 species
GGUUAAGUGACUAAGCGUACACGGUGGAUGCCUAGGCAGUCAGAGGCGAUGAAGGGCGUGCUAAUCUGCGAAAAGCGUCGGUAAGGUGAUAUGAACCGUUACAACCGGCGAUACCCGAAUGAAACCCAGUGUGUUUCGACACACUAUCAUGUCAUGAAUACAUAGUGGCAUGGGCGAACCGGGGAACUGAAACAUCUAAGUACCCCGAGGAAAAGAAAUCAAUUCCCCCAGUAGCGGCGAGCGAACGGGGAGGAGCCCAGAACCUGAAUCGGCUUGUGUGUUAGUGGAAGCGUCUGGAAAGUCGCGCAGCAAAGGGUGAUAGCCCCGUACACUAAAAUGCACAGGUCGUGAGUUCGAUGAGUAGGGCGGGACACGUGACAUCCUGUCUGAAUAUGGGGACCAUCCUCCAAGGCUAAAUACUCCUGACUGACCGAUAGUGAACCAGUACCGUGAGGGAAAGGCGAAAAGAACCCCGGCGAGGGAGUGAAAUAGAACCUGAAACCGUGUACGUACAAGCAGUGGGAGCACCUUCGUGGUGUGACUGCGUACCUUUGUAUAAUGGGUCAGCGACUUAUAUUUUGUAGCAAGGUUAACCGUAUAGGGAGCCGUAGGAAACCGAGUCUUAACUGGGCGAAUAGUUGCAAGGUAUAGACCCGAAACCCGGUGAUCUAGCCAUGGGCAGGUUGAAGGUUGGGUAACACUAACUGGAGGACCGAACCGACUAAUGUUGAAAAAUUAGCGGAUGACUUGUGGCUGGGGUGAAAGGCCAAUCAAACCGGGAGAUAGCUGGUUCUCCCGAAAGCUAUUUAGGUAGCGCCUCGUGAACUCAUCUUCGGGGUAGAGCACUGUUUCGGCUAGGGGCCAUCCCGGCUUACCAAACCGAUGCAAACUCCGAAUACCGAAGAAUGUUAUCACGGGAGACACACGGCGGUGCUAACGUCCGUCGUGAAGAGGAAACAACCCAGACCGCCAGCUAAGGUCCCAAAGUCAUGGUUAAGUGGAAACGAUGUGGGAAGGCACAGACAGCCAGGAUGUUGGCUUAGAAGCAGCCAUCAUUUAAAGAAAGCGUAAUAGCUCACUGGUCGAGUCGGCCUGCGCGGAAGAUGUAACGGGCUAAACCAUGCACCGAAGCUGCGGCAGCGACGCUUAGGCGUUGUUGGGUAGGGGAGCGUUCUGUAAGCCGUUGAAGGUGGCCUGUGAGGGUUGCUGGAGGUAUCAGAAGUGCGAAUGCUGACAUAAGUAACGAUAAAGCGGGUGAAAAGCCCGCUCGCCGGAAGACCAAGGGUUCCUGUCCAACGUUAAUCGGGGCAGGGUGAGUCGACCCUAAGGCGAGGCUGAAAAGCGUAGUCGAUGGGAAACAGGUUAAUAUUCCUGUACUUGGUGUUACUGCGAAGGGGGACGGAGAAGGCUAGGCUGGCCGGGCGACGGUUGUCCCGGUUUAAGCGUGUAGGGGGUGUGACCUGGUAAAUCCGGUUGCAUACUAACCCUGAGGCGUGAUGACGAUGCACUACGGUGCAGAAGUAGUUGAUGCCCUGCUUCCAGGAAAAUCCUCUAAGCUCCAGGUAACAUUGAAUCGUACCCCAAACCGACACAGGUGGUCAGGUAGAGAAUACCAAGGCGCUUGAGAGAACUCGGGUGAAGGAACUAGGCAAAAUGGUGCCGUAACUUCGGGAGAAGGCACGCUGGCAUGUAGGUGAAGUCCCUUGCGGAUGGAGCUGAAGCCAGUCGAAGAUACCAGCUGGCUGCAACUGUUUAAUAAAAACACAGCACUGUGCAAACACGAAAGUGGACGUAUACGGUGUGACGCCUGCCCGGUGCUGGAAGGUUAAUUGAUGGGGUCAGCCGCAAGGCGAAGCUCUUGAUCGAAGCCCCAGUAAACGGCGGCCGUAACUAUAACGGUCCUAAGGUAGCGAAAUUCCUUGUCGGGUAAGUUCCGACCUGCACGAAUGGCGUAAUGAUGGCCAGGCUGUCUCCACCCGAGACUCAGUGAAAUUGAACUCGCUGUGAAGAUGCAGUGUACCCGCGGCAAGACGGAAAGACCCCGUGAACCUUUACUAUAGCUUGACACUGAACAUUGAGCCUUGAUGUAGGAUAGGUGGGAGGCUUUGAAGCGUGGACGCCAGUCUGCGUGGAGCCAUCCUUGAAAUACCACCCUUUAAUGUUUGAUGUUCUAACUCGGCCCCGUGAUCCGGGGUGAGGACAGUGUCUGGUGGGUAGUUUGACUGGGGCGGUCUCCUCCCAAAGAGUAACGGAGGAGCACGAAGGUUAGCUAAUCACGGUCGGACAUCGUGAGGUUAGUGCAAAGGCAUAAGCUAGCUUGACUGCGAGAGUGACGGCUCGAGCAGGUACGAAAGUAGGUCUUAGUGAUCCGGUGGUUCUGAAUGGAAGGGCCAUCGCUCAACGGAUAAAAGGUACUCCGGGAUAACAGGCUGAUACCGCCCAAGAGUUCAUAUCGACGGCGGUGUUUGGCACCUCGAUGUCGGCUCAUCACAUCCUGGGGCUGAAGUAGGUCCCAAGGGUAUGGCUGUUCGCCAUUUAAAGUGGUACGCGAGCUGGGUUUAGAACGUCGUGAGACAGUUCGGUCCCUAUCUGCCGUGGGCGUUGGAAGAUUGAGAGGGGUUGCUCCUAGUACGAGAGGACCGGAGUGAACGCACCACUGGUGUUCGGGUUGUCAUGCCAAUGGCAUUGCCCGGUAGCUAAGUGCGGAAAAGAUAAGCGCUGAAAGCAUCUAAGCGCGAAACUUGCCUCAAGAUGAGUCUUCCCUUGGACUUUGAGUCCACUGAAGGAACGUUUAAGACUAAGACGUUGAUAGGCUGGGUGUGUAAGUGCAGCGAUGCAUUGAGCUAACCAGUACUAAUGAUCCGUGAGGCAACCUU